rnacentral:rRNA from 1 species
GACGAACGCUGGCGGCGUGCCUAAUACAUGCAAGUCGAGCGCGGGAAGCGAGUGGAUCCCUUCGGGGUGAAGCUCGUGGAACGAGCGGCGGACGGGUGAGUAACACGUGGGCAACCUGCCUGUAAGAUCGGAAUAACCCCGGGAAACCGGGGCUAAUGCCGGGUAAUACUUUCUUUCGCAUGAAGGAAAGUUGAAAGAUGGCUUCUUGCUAUCACUUACAGAUGGGCCCGCGGCGCAUUAGCUAGUUGGUGAGGUAACGGCUCACCAAGGCGACGAUGCGUAGCCGACCUGAGAGGGUGAUCGGCCACACUGGGACUGAGACACGGCCCAGACUCCUACGGGAGGCAGCAGUAGGGAAUCUUCCGCAAUGGACGAAAGUCUGACGGAGCAACGCCGCGUGAACGAUGAAGGUCUUCGGAUCGUAAAGUUCUGUUGUUAGGGAAGAACAAGUACCGUGCGAAUAGAGCGGUACCUUGACGGUACCUAACGAGGAAGCCCCGGCUAACUACGUGCCAGCAGCCGCGGUAAUACGUAGGGGGCAAGCGUUGUCCGGAAUUAUUGGGCGUAAAGCGCGCGCAGGCGGUUCCUUAAGUCUGAUGUGAAAGCCCACGGCUCAACCGUGGAGGGUCAUUGGAAACUGGGGAACUUGA